UGUGGCGUAAGCGCAUGCAGCGCGGUCUGUUAAGCAAGAUGUGAAAGCCCGGGGCUCAACCUCGGAACAGCAUUUUGAACUGGCAGACUAGAGUCUUGUAGAGGGGGGUAGAAUUUCAGGUGUAGCGGUGAAAUGCGUAGAGAUCUGAAGGAAUACCGGUGGCGAAGGCGGCCCCCUGGACAAAGACUGACGCUCAGAUGCGAAAGCGUGGGGAGCAAACAGGAUUAGAUACCCCGGUAGUCCACGCCGUAAACGAUGUCUACUUGGAGGUUGGUGUCUUGAACACUGGCUUUCGGAGCUAACGCGUUAAGUAGACCGCCUGGGGAGUACGGUCGCAAGAUUAAAACUCAAAUGAAUUGACGGGGGCCCGCACAAGCGGUGGAGCAUGUGGUUUAAUUCGAUGCAACGCGAAGAACCUUACCUACUCUUGACAUCCAGAGAAUUCGCUAGAGAUAGCUUAGUGCCUUCGGGAACUCUGAGACAGGUGCUGCAUGGCUGUCGUCAGCUCGUGUUGUGAAAUGUUGGGUUAAGUCCCGCAACGAGCGCAACCCUUAUCCUUGUUUGCCAGCACAUAAUGGUGGGAACUCCAGGGAGACUGCCGGUGAUAAACCGGAGGAAGGUGGGGACGACGUCAAGUCAUCAUGGCCCUUACGAGUAGGGCUACACACGUGCUACAAUGGCGUAUACAGAGGGCUGCCAACCAGCGAUGGUGAGCGAAUCCCAGAAAGUACGUCGUAGUCCGGAUUGGAGUCUGCAACUCGACUCCAUGAAGUCGGAAUCGCUAGUAAUCGUGGAUCAGAAUGCCACGGUGAAUACGUUCCCGGGCCUUGUACACACCGCCCGUCACACCAUGGGAGUGGGCUGCACC
rnacentral:rRNA from 1 species